AGGCCGGAAAAAAGAAGUGCGCGCGCGCGCGCGAGGAGCCCUGAAUUCAAAACGAUGUGACCAGAGCAUGGCGUGCGGCCGUGUGUCCGGGCCACGACCGGAACAGAUCGCAGGCAACGAACGAGUUGCGUGCGGGCCUGCCCGGUCCGGCGCGAGUGCGAGGGCGACACGUACCAGUUGAUGGGCUAAAUUGAAGGCGGGAGAGGAGC
rnacentral:lncRNA from 1 species